UAAGUUUUCCAAACGAUCAUACAAUAUUGUAAAUAGGUUACAAUAUCAACUUAUGAUUGCAAAAUGGAUGAAAGUCAGAAGUAUUUAUUUCCAAAGUAAAAAAACUCAAGCAACUCAAAUUGAUGGUAAAGAGAGUUGGAAUGUUUCCCCCUCCCCAAAAAUAAUAUUACAUGGGUUCAUGUUGCCCCUGUACUUCAUAUACAGAGGUAAUUAGCACUCCCACUCCAUAAAUGAAAAAAUACAUGUACUAGAUUAUGUUCAAAUUAAAAAUGAGAUUUGAUGUAUGUAUAUUUUGAGUAACGCUAUUUACUAUGUCGUAGAUAUGUUCUUGGAAUUGUAAUGUUCUAUCGUUAACCAUUUGCCAAGUAUAAUAUGACUAUUUCAAAUGGAGUGACUAUUACUAUAACUAUUACAGUAUUGCAAGCAUAAUGUUGCUGCAAUGUUAAACAUGUGAUGGAGUGACUACAGUGUGAUAUAAUGUUGCUAUGGUAAACGUAUGAUGGAGUAACUAUUACAGUAUGGUAAGCAUAAUGUUGCUAUGUUAAAAAUCUGUCGGAGAUUAUUUGACAGUAUAUUUUUGUUGGUGAUAUUCUUGUGAGCAAUAAAUGAAUUGAAUAUUUCAGCGAUU